rnacentral:rRNA from 1 species
GACGAACGCUGGCGGCGUGCCUAAUACAUGCAAGUAGGACGCAGUUGCGAACGGGUGAGUAACGCGUAGGUACCUACCUCUUAGAGGGGGCUAACUAUUGGAAAAGAUAGCUAAUACCGCAUACUAGUAGAUUGACCUGCUUUGUAUUCGCUAGUAGGUAGGGUAAUGGCCUACCUAGGCAACGAUACAUAGCCGACCUGAGAGGGUUAUCGGCCACACUGGGACUGAGACACGGCCCAGACUCCGUCGGGAGGCAGCAGUAGGGAAUCUUCGGCAAUGGGGGGAACCCUGACCGAGCAACGCCGCGGGAGUGAAGAAGGUUUUCGGAUCGUAAAGCUCUGUUGUUAAGGAAGCGGUACUUAACCAGAAAGGGACGGCUAACUACGUGCCAGCAGCCGCGUAAUUC